rnacentral:rRNA from 1 species
GGAUGAACGCUGGCGGCGUGCUUAAGACAUGCAAGUCGAACGGCAGCAUGUUCCUCUCUGAGGUUCGGAACAGAAAUUAGCAAUUAGCAAGCAGCAAUUAGAGACUUAAAAUCCUAAUUUCUAGUUGCUAGUUCCUAGUUACGAUCAUUCCGAGCUUGAGAGAGGAAUGAUGGCGAGUGGCGGACGGCUGAGUAACGCGUAGGAACGUACCCCAAAGUGAGGAAUAACUCCGAGAAAUCGGUGCUAAUACCGCAUGUGCUCUAAGGAGUAAA